CUUCUUUCCUCCCGAGUGCUUGCACUCAAUUGGAAAGAGGAGUGGCGGACGGGUGAGUAACACGUGGGUAACCUACCCAUCAGAGGGGGAUAACACUUGGAAACAGGUGCUAAUACCGCAUAACAGUUUAUGCCGCAUGGCAUAAGAGUGAAAGGCGCUUUCGGGUGUCGCUGAUGGAUGGACCCGCGGUGCAUUAGCUAGUUGGUGAGGUAACGGCUCACCAAGGCCACGAUGCAUAGCCGACCUGAGAGGGUGAUCGGCCACACUGGGACUGAGACACGGCCCAGACUCCUACGGGAGGCAGCAGUAGGGAAUCUUCGGCAAUGGACGAAAGUCUGACCGAGCAACGCCGCGUGAGUGAAGAAGGUUUUCGGAUCGUAAAACUCUGUUGUUAGAGAAGAACAAGGACGUUAGUAACUGAACGUCCCCUGACGGUAUCUAACCAGAAAGCCACGGCUAACUACGUGCCAGCAGCCGCGGUAAUACGUAGGUGGCAAGCGUUGUCCGGAUUUAUUGGGCGUAAAGCGAGCGCAGGCGGUUUCUUAAGUCUGAUGUGAAAGCCCCCGGCUCAACCGGGGAGGGUCAUUGGAAACUGGGAGACUUGAGUGCAGAAGAGGAGAGUGGAAUUCCAUGUGUAGCGGUGAAAUGCGUAGAUAUAUGGAGGAACACCAGUGGCGAAGGCGGCUCUCUGGUCUGUAACUGACGCUG
rnacentral:rRNA from 1 species